UCCCUAGUAGCUGAGAUGUAAAGAAUCUGCCUGCAAUUCAGGAGACCUGGGUUCAAUCCCUGGUUGGGAAG
rnacentral:tRNA from 1 species